rnacentral:rRNA from 1 species
AUUGAAACGCUGGCGGCAGGCCUAACACAUGCAAGUCGAGCGGAAACGCAGUUUGGGUAACCAAAAUGGGCGUCGAGCGGCGGACGGGUGAGUAAAUAUAUGGGAAAUCUGCCUGAUAGAGGGGGAUAGACUGGGGAAAACCUGGAGUAAUACCGCGUAUACCCUGAGGGGGAAAAGGUGGCCCCUCUUUGAAGCUACCGCUAUCAGAUGAGCCCAUAUGGGAUUAGCUAGUUGGUAGGUAAAGGCCUAACCAAGGCGACGAUCUCUAGCUGGUCUGAGAGGACGAUCAGCCACACUGGAACUGAGACACGGUCCAGACUCCUACGGGAGGCAGCAGUGGGGAAUAUUGGACAAUGGCGAAAGCCUGAUCCAGCCAAUGCCGCGUGUGUGAAGAAAGGCCUUAGGGUUGUAAAGCAC